CCUACGGGUGGCUGCAGUGAGGAAUAUUGGUCAAUGGACGAGAGUCUGAACCAGCCAAGUAGCGUGAAGGAUGACUGCCCUAGGGGUUGUAAACUUCUUUUAUAUGGGAAUAAAAUGUUCCACGUGUGGGAUUUUGCAUGUACCAUAUGAAUAAGGAUCGGCUAACUCCGUGCCAGCAGCCGCGGUAAUACGGAGGGUCCGAGCGUUAUCCGGAUUUAUUGGGUUUAAAGGGAGCGUAGGUGGAUUGUUAAGUCAGUUGUGAAAGUUUGCGGCUCAACCGUGAAAUUGCAGUUGAAACUGGCAGUCUUGAGUACAGUAGAGGUGGGCGGAAUUCGUGGUGUAGCGGUGAAAUGCUUAGAUAUCACGAAGAACUCCGAUGGCGAAGGCAGCUUACUGGACUGCAACUGACACUGAGGCUCGAAAGUGUGGGUAUCAAACAGGAUUAGAUACCCCUGUAGUC
rnacentral:rRNA from 1 species